UUCUGUCGGAGAGGAGGAGGGAGGGGAGAAAAGAUCUAACGUUUGACGAGAGCUUUGAUUGUGUCAGGUGCUCUCCUGCUGCUGAUGCCUUCUUGUAGAUUUUCCUCUAUCAGAGCACUUCCGCACACAUUUCGUUUGCGUGAGAUGGAGAUGACAAUAUAACCACCGUUUUAUUGGUGGCCUGCACAAAGUGACGUGAGGCUAGCUCCCACCAGCGCUCUCAAUUCUGCCUGACGGACGCACUGAAGGUAUUCAGGAGAGUCAGCAAAGUUGGUGCCGCCACGGGGAUCGAAGAUGCGCCUCAUGGUACAAACUGCCAUGUGGGCGACAUUCAUUAUCAGUCGGGGUGAUGCUGAUUCCGUGACCCAAGAGAAGACUUCUCUGACGCAUACAGAGGGGGAAAACGCCAUUUUAACAUGCACCUUUGCCAAGGAUGGUUACUACUUGUUCUGGUACCGCCAGUACCCCGACGGUCACCCGGAGUUUCUGCUCCGGAGAUACACUGACGGACAGUAUAACGACAAGGCGGAUUUCGCUCGUGAGCGGUUUUCUGACGAAGUUCAGCAGUCAACGAAAACAUAUCAGAUGACUAUUUCGGAGCUACUGCUGUCUGACACGGCGAUGUAUUACUGUGCAAUCGCACAGUGUUGGGAACGGCGUGCAGACUCGUACAAUAACUGCUGCAGGUUUCUGAGGCACAUCUGCUGCAGAUGUUCAGCUAUGUAGCUUAUUGUGGCGCAGGCAGUGGCGCCGGAAACCAUUUGCUGUAAGCGGAAACGCCACUCGCUCCACAUGAUAUCUCCAUUCCGUCAAAAUAUUGCACUAACAGCAAACUUUAACAUGUGUACCACGAAAUUUCACGACUUAAUAGCAAAAAGCAACGUUGUACGUAGUUGUUGAUUUAACAGAGCGGCGCAGCUUUCGAAAUACCUCACGCCUAUUUAGACUUUUGGAGAGGUCCCCCUCCCCUCACCCCACUCACCAUCAACAACAGCACAGUCACAUAUGUGGAGUAUUGUAAGUUCCUGUGAACCAUCAUCUCCAAGGACUUUAAAUGGGGGGCUACCAUCGACUCCACGGUCAAAAAUGCACAACACAGUAUGUACUUCCUACGGCACUGAUGAAGCACAAUCUGCCACCGGUAAUGAUGGUCCAAUUCUAUACGGACAUCGUAGAGUCUGUCCUCACCUUAACCAUCAUGGUCUGGUUUGGCGCGACAUCUGGAGGCCGCAGCGAAUCGUCCGAUCAGCUGAGAAGGCUAUUGGCAGCAACCGUCCCUCCAUUGAUGAACUGUACACUGCAGGGGCAGGGAAGCGAGCGGGUAAGAUCAUUUCUGACCCCUCUCACCCUGGCCACAACCACAACCUCUUCGGAUCACUUCUCUCUGGAAGGCGACUCCGGACUGUCAAAGCUGCCACAGCCAGACAUAAAAACAACUUUUUUUCCACGAGUAGUAGCUCUACUCAAUAACCAAAAACCUGUAGCCUCCUUUUGCUCUGAUGUUUUAUUUAAUUAACAUAUUUAAUCAAUAAUGUGUUGUUAUUAUUAAUGUUUAAUGUUUUAUGUGUCAUUCCUAACUGUCACUGUAUGUCGUUGUCACUUGCGGGCGGAGCACCAAUAUAAAUUCCUUGUAUGUG